UGAGGAAUAUUGCACAAUGGGCGAAAGCCUGAUGCAGCGACGCCGCGUGGGGGAUGAAGGCUCUCGGGUUGUAAACCCCUUUCAGCAGGGACGAAAAUGACGGUACCUGCAGAAGAAGCCCCGGCCAACUACGUGCCAGCAGCCGCGGUAACACGUAGGGGGCAAGCGUUGUCCGGAUUUAUUGGGCGUAAAGAGCUCGUAGGCGGUUCGAUAAGCCGGGUGUGAAAACUCUGGGCUCAACUCAGAGACGCCACCCGAUACUGUCGUGACUUGAGUCUGGUAGGGGAGUGUGGAAUUCCCGGUGUAGCGGUGAAAUGCGCAGAUAUCGGGAGGAACACCAGUGGCGAAGGCGGCACUCUGGGCCAGUACUGACGCUGAGGAGCGAAAGCGUGGGGAGCGAACAGGAUUAGAUACCCUGGUAGUCCACGCCGUAAACGUUGGGCACUAGGUGUGGGUCCUAACCAACGGGAUCCGUGCCGCAGCUAACGCAUUAAGUGCCCCGCCUGGGGAGUACGGCCGCAAGGCUAA
rnacentral:rRNA from 1 species